rnacentral:misc_RNA from 1 species
UUUCCGUAGGUGAACCUGCGGAAGGAUCAUUACAGAGUUCAUGCCCUCACGGGUAGAUCUCCCACCCUUGAAUAUUUAUACCUUAGUUGCUUUGGCAGGCCGUGGAAACACCAUGGGCUCCGGCUUAUGCGUGCCUGCCAGAGGAAACAAACUCUGUUUUUAGUGAUGUCUGAGUACUAUAUAAUAGUUAAAACUUUCAACAACGGAUCUCUUGGUUCUGGCAUAGAUGAAGAACGCAGC